rnacentral:rRNA from 1 species
UACGAGGGGGGCGAGCGUUGUUCGGAAUUAUUGGGCGUAAAGGGUGCGUAGGCGGUUUGGUAAGUCUGAUGUGGAAUCUAUGGGCUCAACUCAUAGUCUGCAUCGGAAACUGCCGGGCUUGAGUAUGGGAGAGGUGAGUGGAAUUCCUGGUGUAGCGGUGAAAUGCGUAGAUAUCAGGAGGAACACCUGUGGCGAAAGCGGCUCACUGGACCAUAACUGACGCUGAUGCACGAAAGCUAGGGGAGCAAACAGG